rnacentral:rRNA from 1 species
GAUCAUGGCUCAGAAUCAACGCUGGCGGCGUGCUUAACACAUGCAAGUCGAACGCGAAAGUGGAGCAAUCCAUGAGUAGAGUGGCAAACGGGUGAGUAACACGUGGGUGACCUGCCUUCGAGUGGGGGAUAACGUUUCGAAAGGAACGCUAAUACCGCAUAACAUGCUGUCUUUUAACAGAUGGACAUUAAAGCCGGGGACCGCAAGGCCUGGCGCUUGAAGAGGGGCCCGCGCCUGAUUAGCUAGUUGGUGGGGUAAUGGCCCACCAAGGCAACGAUCAGUAUCCGGCCUGAGAGGGCGGACGGACACACUGGGACUGAGACACGGCCCAGACUCCUACGGGAGGCAGCAGUGGGGAAUUGUUCGCAAUGGGCGCAAGCCUGACGACGCAACGCCGCGUGGAGGAUGAAGAUCUUCGGGUCGUAAACUCCUUUCGAUCGAGACGAAUGGCCCUUGGGCUAAUACCCUGAGGGAGUGACGGUACCGAGAGAAGAAGCCCCAGCUAACUCCGUGCCAGCAGCCGCGGUAAUA